GUUAUAACGGUGUGUGUCUUUACCUGUUCCUCCAGACGCUUCGGACGAGCCGCCGGCGGGAGCCGCUUCAGUCGAGCCGCAGGGAUCCGGAGACACACACACUCCUGCUGCUCCUCCAAACACCGAUGCCGAGCAGAAGAACGGGAAGACUCCGGAUUCGCUCGCGACCGUCCCGAAGGAGAAGAGGACCGAGACCGAGAUCGGUGACCGCUGCUCUCAUCCUAAAGGCCCUCGGGAUCCUCCGUCGGAGUGGACGUGACUCUCCUCACACACACUCUAUCAGUGAUGGACGUGACUCUCCUCACACACACUCUAUCAGUGAUGGACGUGACUCUCCUCACACACACUCUAUCAGUGAUGGACCUGACUAUCCUCACACACACUCUCUAUCAGUGAUGGACGUCGAAGACUUUGCGCCCUCAUCUCUGACUUAGACAACCAGAAAGCUCCCAAGAUAAUCUCCCAUGAUGCACUGCUGCGCUGCCACGGACUGUUGGUGCUAAGCUCUCGCUGGGACCAGAAACAUGCCUUAUUCCUGCUGUCCCGGACCGUCACUCGCGUAGUUUUAGUCUGAACUCAUGAGCGCUGAACGCUGUCUGUCUUCUGUGUUCAGGCGAGCAGAAAAUAAUAAUGAUGCAAAUCUACUAUCACUGAAUAUAUUAAUGCGAUGUAAGACAUCUGUGCAUGAACCCCGUCACGUGAACCUCAAACUGUAAGUUAUUUGCCCUCCUGUUAGAACAAGCGUUUUCAGGGUUGUGUUUUCUUUUCUCCCGCCGUUCUUCCCGUUUGUUCGGCAGGUGUGUAUCGGCAGGUGUGUAUCGGCCACUUCAGACGCUGCGGGCUGGAGAUUGUAUUAAUGCUUUUUGUAAAUUGUAUUCUAGAGGUUAUUUUUGUAUAUGCCAUUUUCUCACUUCACGAACGACACCCUGACAGCU